rnacentral:rRNA from 1 species
UACGGAGGAUGCAAGCGUUAUCCGGAAUGAUUGGGCGUAAAGCGUCCGCAGGUGGCAAUGUAAGUCUGCUGUUAAAGAGUCUAGCUCAACUAGAUAAAAGCAGUGGAAACUACAUAGCUAGAGUACGUUCGGGGCAGAGGGAAUUCCUGGUGUAGCGGUGAAAUGCGUAGAGAUCAGGAAGAACACCGGUGGCGAAGGCGCUCUGCUAGGCCGUAACUGACACUGAGGGACGAAAGCUAGGGAGCGAAUGGG